UACGAAGGGGGCUAGCGUUGCUCGGAAUCACUGGGCGUAAAGGGUGCGUAGGCGGGUUUUUAAGUCAGAGGUGAAAUCCUGGAGCUCAACUCCAGAACUGCCUUUGAUACUGAGAAUCUUGAGUUCGGGAGAGGUGAGUGGAACUGCGAGUGUAGAGGUGAAAUUCGUAGAUAUUCGCAAGAACACCAGUGGCGAAGGCGGCUCACUGGCCCGAUACUGACGCUGAGGAGCGAAAGCCAGGGGAGCAAAGCGGG
rnacentral:rRNA from 1 species